rnacentral:rRNA from 1 species
AUUGAACGCUGGCGGCAGGCCUAACACAUGCAAGUCGAGCGGAGCGGCGGACGGCUGAGUAAUGCCUAGGAAUCUGCCUGGUAGUGGGGGAUAACGUCCGGAAGCGGGCGCUAAUACCGCAUACUAUCAGAUGAGCCUAGGUCGGAUUAUCUAGUUGGUGGGGUAAUGGCCUACCAAGGCGACGAUCCUUAACGGGUCUGAGAGGAUGAUCAGUAACACUGGAACUGAGACACGGUCAAGACUCCUACGGGAGGCAGCAGUGGGGAAUAUUGGACAAUGGGCGAAAUCCUGACCCAGCAAUGCCGAGUGUGUGAAGGAGGUCUUCGGAUUGUAAAGCACUUUAAGUUGGGAGGCGUUACCAACAGAAAAAGCACCGGCUAACUUCGUGCCAGCCGCCGCGGUAAUAC